rnacentral:rRNA from 1 species
UUUAUGGAGAGUUUGAUCCUGGCUCAGGAUGAACGCUGGCGGCGUGCCUAAUACAUGCAAGUCGAGCGAACGGACGAGAAGCUUGCUUCUCUGAUGUUAGCGGCGGACGGGUGAGUAACACGUGGAUAACCUACCUAUAAGACUGGGAUAACUUCGGGAAACCGGAGCUAAUACCGGAUAAUAUUUUGAACCGCAUGGUUCAAAAGUGGAAGACGGUCUUGCUGUCACUUAUAGAUGGAUCCGCGCUGCAUUAGCUAGUUGGUAAGGUAACGGCUUACCAAGGCAACGAUGCAUAGCCGACCUGAGAGGGUGAUCGGCCACACUGGAACUGAG